rnacentral:rRNA from 1 species
UAGAGUUUGAUCCUGGCUCAGAAUCAACGCUGGCGGCGUGCCUAACACAUGCAAGUCGUACGCGAAAGGGGAGCAAUCCCUGAGUAGAGUGGCAAACGGGUGAGUAACACGUGGGUGACCUGCCUCAGAGUGGGGGAUAACGUCCCGAAAGGGACGCUAAUACCGCAUAACAUCCUGCCUUUGGAAAGGCGGAGAUCAAAGCCGGGGAUCGCAAGACCUGGCGCUUGGAGAGGGGCCCGCGUCUGAUUAGCUAGUUGGUAGGGUAAUGGCCUACCAAGGCGACGAUCAGUAUCCGGCCUGAGAGGGCGGACGGACACACUGGGACUGAGACACGGCCCAGACUCCUACGGGAGGCAGCAGUGGGGAAUUGUUCGCAAUGGGCGCAAGCCUGACGACGCAACGCCGCGUGGAGGAUGAAGAUCUUCGGGUCGUAAACUCCUGUCGAGCGGGACGAACACUUAUCCGGUUAAUACCUGGAUAGGCUGACGGUACCGCUAAAGGAAGCCCCGGCUAACUCCGUGCCAGCAGCCGCGGUAAUACGGGGGGGGCAAGCGUUGUUCGGAAUUACUGGGCGUAAAGGGCUCGUAGGCGGCCAACUAAGUCAGACGUGAAAUCCCCAGGCUCAACCUGGGAACUGCGUCUGAUACUGGAUGGCUUGAAUCCGGGAGAGGGAUGCAGAAUUCCAGGUGUAGCGGUGAAAUGCGUAGAUAUCUGGAGGAAUACCGGUGGCGAAGGCGGCAUCCUGGACCGGCAUUGACGCUGAGGAGCGAAAGCCAGGGGAGCAAACGGGAUUAGAUACCCCGGUAGUCCUGGCCCUAAACGAUGAAUGCUUGGGUGUACGGGUAUCGAUCCCUGUUUGUGCGAAGCUAACGCAUUAAGCAUUCCGCCUGGGGGAGUACGG